rnacentral:rRNA from 1 species
CCUACGGGAGGCAGCAGUGGGGAAUCUUGCGCAAUGGGCGAAAGCCUGACGCAGCCAUGCCGCGUGAAUGAUGAAGGUCUUAGGAUUGUAAAAUUCUUUCACCGGGGACGAUAAUGACGGUACCCGGAGAAGAAGCCCCGGCUAACUUCGUGCCAGCAGCCGCGGUAAUACGAAGGGGGCUAGCGUUGCUCGGAAUUACUGGGCGUAAAGGGGGCGUAGGCGGAUAGUUUAGUCAGAGGUGAAAGCCCAGGGCUCAACCUUGGAAUUGCCUUUGAUACUGGCUAUCUUGAGUACGGAAGAGGUAUGUGGAACUCCGAGUGUAGAGGUGAAAUUCGUAGAUAUUCGGAAGAACACCAGUGGCGAAGGCGACAUACUGGUCCGUUACUGACGCUGAGGCUCGAAAGCGUGGGGAGCAAACAGGAUUAGAUACCCUGGUAGUCCACGCUGUAAACGAUGAGUGCUAGUUGUCGGCAUGCAUGCAUGUCGGUGACGCAGCUAACGCAUUAAGCACUCCGCCUGGGGAGUACGGUCGCAAGAUUAAAACCUUAAAUGAAUUGACGG